rnacentral:sRNA from 1 species
AUGGCAACAUGCAUUUCUCUUUCAACAUUUUGCAGGUUAUUGCUGACAUGGAGGCCCAGGUUCAUAAGUUGAGAGAAGAACUGAUCAAUGUGAACUCACAGCGGAAACAGCAGCUGGUAGAGCUUGGUCUUCUUCGUGAAGAGGAAAAGCAAAGGGCUACAAGGGAACAUGAGAUUGUCGUCAAUAAACUGAAGGCUGAAUCAGAAAAGAUGAAAAUAGAGCUGAAAAAGACUCAUGCUGCUGAGACAGAGAUGACACUGGAAAAGGCCAACAGCAGGCUGAAGCAGAUUGAGAAGGAAUACACUCAGAAGCUUGCCAAAUCUUCACAGAUCAUAGCAGAACUUCAGACAACCAUUUCCUCUCUGAAAGAAGAGAACAGCCAGCAGCAGCUUGCUGCAGAAAGGCGGCUCCAGGAUGUUAGACAAAAGUUUGAAGAUGAGAAGAAGCAGCUGAUUAGAGAUAAUGACCAAGCAAUCAAGGUUUUGCAGGAUGAAUUAGAAAACCGUUCUAAUCAGGUGCGAUGUGCAGAGAAAAAAUUACAACACAAAGAAUUGGAGUCACAGGAACAGAUAACUUA